GACGAACGCUGGCGGCGUGCCUAAUACAUGCAAGUUGAGCGCUGAAGGUUGGUACUUGUACCAACUGGAUGAGCAGCGAACGGGUGAGUAACGCGUGGGGAAUCUGCCUUUGAGCGGGGGACAACAUUUGGAAACGAAUGCUAAUACCGCAUAAAAACUUUAAACACAAGUUUUAAGUUUGAAAGAUGCAAUUGCAUCACUCAAAGAUGAUCCCGCGUUGUAUUAGCUAGGUGGUGAGGGAAAGGCUCACCAAGGCGAUGAUACAUAGCAGACCUGAGAGGGUGAUCGGCCACAUUGGGACUGAGACACGGCCCAACCUACUACGGGAGGCAGCAGUAGGGAAUCUUCGGAGAUGGACGAAAGUCUGACCGAGCAACGCCGCGUGAGUGAAGAAGGGUUUCGGAUCGUAAAACUCUGUUGGUAGAGAAGAACGUUGGUGAGAGUGGAAAGCUCAUCAAGUGACGGUAACUACCCAGAAAGGUACGGCUAACUACGUG
rnacentral:rRNA from 1 species